UAGAGUUUGGUUUGAUUAUAUAUCGAAAUGCUCAUCCUCAGUCCGAUGUACUAUAUGCCUAAGUUAACAUAUUAACAGUAACUAUACGUUACUGUCUGCAACAUAAAUAUGCGACGCACGUAAUUGUAUAAAUAGCAUGUAAGCAAUAAUAGCCUAUAAAUAUGUUAUGUUUAGAUUUACUUGCUCUCUCUAUACUUGGAUACCGAGAAUA